rnacentral:lncRNA from 1 species
UUUCUUUUAAUUUGAUUUUAACCCUUCUUUAAAUUCUUUUUUUUUCUUUUUUUGCAGAUUGGGCUGUUUUGGGGCUGAANUGCACAAUUGNNCUGAUUUCACGAUUGGACCUUGAUNUUUUUAGGGUGCUUGAAUCUGAAAGUUGAGGUAUAAACUGCUACUUUGAUUUCAUUUGAUGAUUGCAAUGGUAGUAUAGGAAAUCUUUUCUUUUUGUCAUAGAAAUUAGGUUCGUAAGUUGCAUUUGUAUUUCCUUUCAUACGAUUACAGUAUUUGCUUUGAUAUUGAAUGAUCUGGAGUAGCAUUUCAAGGUUUUUGUUACGUAUAGUUUUAGUGUCAUGUUAUUCUUCCCUGCAUUUCCAUUUAAAAUUUGAGNUUAGGAUUAGUGUUAGUGUGCAUUCUGCAUUUGUGUUGCUGUUUUUACCUUUUGUAUAUUACUUAGAUUGUUUCUUUCCACUAGGAAUUAUCAUUGUCUAUCGUUUUUUGAAGUCUACAUCCACUGUCCCAUUAUCAUUGUUUGCUUCUUAUAUUUUCUUUGCUCUUCUGGAUACUGCAGUUAUUGUUCAUAGUUUAGGUAACCUGUUUUAGAUGAUACAGGGAAGUGUCCAAAAUCAACAGCAAGUGCAAGAGGAGCUUUGGAUGCUACAACAAGGUGAUUUGAACAUGCAGAACCAGCUGAAAGCAUCGAAGGUAGAGCUGAUGCUGCUGGAGCAAAUGGUUGAGCAGGAGGAAGGUAUUGCAGCCAUAGAGACUUUGCACAGUAUGAAAUAGUGAAAGAGAUGAGGGGAAAUCUCCCUUGUGUUGAAUAUACACAUAGGGUCCUUUAUUUAUAAUAGAAGAAAUAUGGGCUAAGCCCAAAAUACAAAUAAGAAAUAUAAAUAAACUAAAUAAGAAAUAUAAACAAACUAACUAAAGAUAAGAGAUAAAUAUAAACUAAAUAUAAUAUAUCUAACACUCUCCCUCAAGCUGGAGCAUACAGAUUGUAUGUACCAAGCUUGUUACUAAAAUAAUCCAUAAAGACUUGGUGAAAAUAUCUGCUUUUGCACUCGAGAGACACCAAAUUCCUAAUGAUUUGCAAGACGACAUAGAAGACAAAAUACCAACCCAAAAGACUCGCCCUGAGCAACAAAUAUGGGAGGUUACUCCAUGUAAAUCUCUUCUUGCAAAUUGCCCUUGAAGAAUGUCGCCAUUGGAUAAAGAGGUAAUUGUUGGAGAGCCACCACGACUAUAAAUAAACUAACAACAAACCAUCUUUUCCAUGAAAAAAGCAUAUAUGGACGGGUCAAACGCAACGGUGAAAAGAGAGGUCAAAAGAGACAGCAACGGAAGAAGCCAUGGAUAAACAGGAAAGAGAAAGAAACCCUAAAAAUUCAACAUGCUCUGAUUGCCUCAACGACCACAAGAGGAGAUUCGGAUGGAGCAGUCGUCAGUUGAUUCUGGAACUCCGGCGAGAUUCCGGCGAGAUUCCGACGAAGGUCCGGCGAAAGGUCCGGCGAAGGUCCGACAAAAGGUCAGGUGAAGGUCCGGCGAAGUUCCGGCGAAGGAUGAUGACCACGGCGAGUAGCGGUGAUGCACUGCAGAUGUAGUGGCCUUUCUUGGCCGCAGUAGAAUAACAUAGGUUGAAAGACUUUUAGUAGGGACUGCCGGCGGCCAUGGCGGCCGGCGGCCAACAGACAGCGAAGACAAUGACUAAAGAAUCAGAGAACCAGGCUCUGAUACCAUAUGAAAUAGUGAAAGAGAUGAGGGGAAAUCUCCCUUGUGUUGAAUAUACACAUAGGAUUCUUUAUUUAUAAUAGAAGAAAUAUGGGCUAAGCCCAAAAUAUAAAUAAGAAAUAUAAACAAACUAAAUAAGAAAUAUAAACAAACUAACUAAAGAUAAGAGAUAAAUAUAAACUAAAUAUAAUAUAUCUAACAGAGGAGAUGAACAUAAUGGAGAAAAACCAAUAAGCCUUUACUUAUCCUUCCUUAUUUUAGUUUCAUGUUAUGUUUUAGUUCUUAAUUAGUUUAUAUUCCUUAUUUUAGUUUCAUGCUUUGUUUUAAGUUUUGAAUUAGGAUUCUUUUUGUAAUUAGGUUUUAUUUUCUUUUUGCAAAUGUUUUACAAUUAUUUUGAAUCUGUUUAGCUUUCUCUUUUUCAGUUUUUUCUUUUUGGUUAAUCUUUCUUUGUCAGGUAGUUUAUAGGAAUAGUUUAGAUUUAUCUUCUGUCAAUAUAUUAGGUAGUUUAUGAUUCAUUCUAGGUUCUCUUUGACUUUUAUUGUCUUGUUUUAGGUUCUUUUCAUAUUAGAUUUUGUUUUAGUCUUUAAUUAGCAGUUGUCUCAGGUGCUUUUCGUUUCUUAGGUCUGUUGUAGCUUGUAAAUAAAAUGGCCUUAGGAUUUGCUUGUUUUAAGAGUCUUCUCAUUACUUAGGUUCUGUUUUUAGUCUUUAACUAGAAUUCCCUUUAGGUUUUUUUAGGUCCAGGUCUUGUUUUAAGUUUCUUGUUUCUACGUCUCUGUCUUGUUAGUUUAGGUCCUUUAUUUUUUUCUGUAGUUUAGGUCCUUUAUUUUUUUCUGUUGUUUAGGAUUUGUUUUAGGUUGAACAUAAUUGUGUGUGGUUCAGGUUCAUAGAGUUUAGGUAAUUUUGUUUAGGUAUUUUUAGGUUCUUUUAGGUUAUGUGUUACACUUUAACUCUUUGCUGAUUUACUUAACUUUUUAGCUUUAUUUCUCUAAGAUAGAUUGCCAAUAGUGUCUUUAGCUCUAGAUUUAAGUAGAUGUAGCUCUAGCAGUAGUUUUUGCAGUUGGUUCAGUUGAAGUGAGCAGUUUUUGCAAGAUAGAGAGUAGCAAUUCCAUUUUUGACAAAUUUUAAUCCUCGAGAGUUUCUGGCCAAAUUUUUUCUUUCUAGUGUGAUUACAUGCUUGUAUAGUCAUAAUUAUGAUUUUGCAUUGAUUCUCUUUAAGUAUGCUUGAUCUUGGUAAAACUUUAGAUAUGAUCUAGGCCUCUUUCUUCUUACCCAUUCACAUAUUUCCAUUGCACCUUUCUUUGAGCCUUAGCCAUGAAAGUCCUAGUGAUCUAGAGAUAUUUUGAUUCAAGCAGUGUGAAUUAGAAUUUUUCCAAAGUUGUGAAGUGUGAUCUAUCAUGACAUGUGGACUGAAACACAAGCUGACCUAAACAGUUCAGUGAAUCUGAGAGAAACACUUUAUCCUGUGAGGUUGAAUUAGAUUGUUACUUCUCUGAAAUGUUCUUUUCUGCCUGUUUUUAUUGAAUUUAAUUGUUCUUUACUUGCUAGAGUUGCUGAUACAUAGAUUUGGAGUUGAUGAUUCUGUUUGUGCAAUUUUAAUUAGAGAAAAUAACUAGAUGUUGUGUGAAUUAGCAGAGUGUUGGGUUAAAUGUGAUAGAGUCUAUGAGUUUUUACUGUUGUGUUGAGUCUUUUGCUUUGUAGUUUGAGUCUUUUCCUUUUAUUUUUAGUCUAAGCGUGGGGUGUGAUAACUCUCCAAAUAUGCUUAUUUUUUUGUGUUAAAACUCUUUUGUUAGGUUUUUUUAGUUUUUAAUUCUUUAGAAAUAGAAUAGUUUAGUGUAAAACGGUAAAAAUAGGCUUUUUAAUAAAAAUUUGGUUAGUUUUCUCUUUUUAGGUAAAUAAAAUUUGUUUUGAAAGAAAUAGAUAUUUGUUAGAAGAAANUUUUAGAAAACAAAAUAAAAAUAGUUUCUAGAACAGGUUAUUUUCUUUUAAUUUCAUUUUAACCCUUCUUUAAAUUCAAUUUUUUUUUUUUUUUUUUUUUUUGCAAAAUGGGUUGUUUUGGGGUUGAUGUGCGCAAUUGGGCCGAUUUUAGGAUUGGACCUUGAUCUUUUUAGGGUGCUUGAAUCUGAAAGUUGAGGUAACCUGUUUUAGAUGAUAUAGAAUACAGGGAAGUGUNUUUUGAAUAAUUGGGAUUGAUUUGGUUUCUGAAUUGAACCAUGCAAUUUAAUUACAUCUGCAUUAGAUGUCAAGGACCCCAAGGAGGGCCUACCUUUUUAGGAUGACUUACUGAAUACAUGACUCAAUUUAGAAACUCAAAUGACAUCUAAUUGUAAAUCUAUGCUUGUCUUUUACUCUGUUAACCCUAAAGAGGAGUGUAAAGCUGUUGUUACUAACAGCAAAAGAAAAGCAGAAGAGGAAGCUAUUGAGAUAGAAAGUAAUGGGGAGAAAGAUGAAGAGAUGAGUGAGAAUGUGGAGAUCGAGAGCAGUGAGGAAGAGAACGAAGAAGAAGGGUUGAAAAAGAAUUUUGAAAGUGAAGAAGAAAACAGAGAUAAUGAGGAAAGAGGUAGUCACUAUGAGCCAUUCAGGGAAAUUUUUAACCAAGUAACCGUGGUGUCUUCAGUAAUUCAGCAGAUUCCUGUAUAUUCUGAAAGAAUAAAAUAUUAUCUCAGAGAUGCAAUAGAUCUUGAUGAAGAGGGAUAGGAACUUGUUAUUCAACCUCAAAAGAGAAACCAUCCGCCCAAGGUAAAAGAUCUAGGUUGUUUGACUCUUUUAUGUGUUGUGAACGAUGUUGAUGUAGGAGGAGCUAUGAUAGAUUCUUGAUCUAGCAUUAAUAUGAUGCCUAAGAGUUUCUUGAAGAAAAUUGGAGGGCUAAUGUUAAAACCGUCUAAUCUUACUGUGAUGGUGGCAGAUUGUUCCACAAAAGAGCCGCUUGGUAUGGUGGAGAAUGUGAUUGUGCGUGUUGAGCAGUUAUAAUUUUUGGUGGACUUUAUAGUCAUGGGCAUGGAAAAUGAUGAAAGGAUUCCAUUGAUUCUAGGAAGACCUUUCAUGGCAACUUCAAAGAAGCUUAUUAGUGUCUAUGAUGGGAGAAUCAUGAUGAGAAAUAAAGAAAAUGUGUUGUUGUAUAAUGGCUCUAAAGAGAAUAAUGUUAGAGUAAGAAAGAGGGCCAGACACAAAAAGUCCAAGAAAGCUGCUGCAUCUGGAGAGAGCACAACAGGUACUGAUACUGACAGUUGUAAUGUUUUGUAGGUACCUAAAGAUGAAGAGGUUGAUAAAGAAGGAACAAUUCACUCAGAGGAUACAUCACUUCCACGUGGUUCACAAGUAAGAUUCAAGAAUAGAAAGUGGAUUGUGAACAAGCUUAAAGAGGGAGGAGUAAUGCAGAUUAGAAGACCAUACUCCAAAGCAAUCAGAAGAGUGGAUAGAAGGCAGCUGAUGAGUUGGGUUGAUGAAGACCCCAACCGGGAUGGGAAGACAUGAUGUUAUCUGAAUGAAUCCCACUUGUUGUAAAACAAUUUUUCAUUUUUAAUCUUAGGAUUAUUUUAUUUUGGACAUGUAACCCCUUGGAUUUUUAAACAUUUAUGGGUAGCAUCUACUGAGGGAUGCUAAAAUUUUAUGUAUCUACUAAGGAUACAGGUAAGUACACCUACUGAAAGGUGUUGGAGGCACUUAUUGAUGAUUGCUAGAAGGUUUGGGUCAGGCUCGUGACAUUAAAAAAGUGCUACCUGGGAGGCAACCCAGUUGAAAAAGAAAAGUGCAUGAGAAAAGAAAAAGAGAAAAAGAAAAAGCAUGAAAAAUAAGCUCAAUGUAAAAAUAAAGAAAAAAAAGGGAAGAAGUUAGGAAUGAGUGAGAUUGGUUAAAAAGAGAGUUUGUGCUUGAACUUUGAAUGAUAAAAUAGCUCUCUUGACUCAAGGAUUUUGUGCUUCAGAAAAUCCAGUUUUUCUUGUUAGCCCAAUCUUAUUAUAAGCCUUGGGAAACGUCCUUGUGAUGGAAUUUGCAUGUGAGAAUGUUGAUUGUAUUAGAUGAAAGGCAAUUUUAUUUUAUGUGACAUGUGAAUAGUAGAGAGUGGAGUGUCUUCUUAAACACUUGAGUAAUUGAGUAAAACAUUUGCUUGAUGAGAAUUGUUAAAUUCCAUGUUUACAUCUGUGCUUAGUGGAUUGAUCAUUCAUAAAUAAAACAUCUGUUGGGAAAUAUGUGAUUAUGUGAACUGAAUUGAAUUGAAAGCAUGCAUGCAUCUUGAUAGGAUUCCACUAAAAAUCUGAAUUGAGCAAUAACUUGUUAUGGGGAAAAUGAGUUUUGAAAAUGUUGAACUAUUUGAUGAAAAAGUGGAAAGCCAAGUUUUGUCUUGUUUGCUUGAGGGCAAGCAAAGUUCUAAGUUUGGGGUUGUGAUAACGGUCUAAAAACCGUUAUUUUCAUGCUUAAAUUUGAUAUAUAAACACACCCUUUAUGGCUUAGAAUGAGCUUAAAAUCAAGUAAAACACUUAGUUGAGUCAUAUGAUAGUCAAAAGUUGGUUUUAGAGAUAUAAUGCUUGUUUUUGUAUUGUUUUGCAGGGUUUUGAUGUGAAUUGAAGAUGGAAGUGAAGUAAGGGGGACUUAGACUCAUGAAAGAAUAAGAAAAAGGAUGAAAAGAAGAGUCAAGUGAACGGUUCAGCGUCAAAUUCCAGCGUUGAGCGCCAGUUUCGUGGGUAAAGUCAUUGCUUCUCGCUUGAUCGACACCGUUGAGCGUCCUGUGCGAUUUGAGGGCCACCGCUGAGUGGUGUAUUGGACCGCUUGGCAGUUUUGCGAUUAGAGGCAAACCGCUCAACGGCCAAAUUAGGCGCUAAGCAUCCAUCAGAUGGGCUUGAGCUUAAUUUCUGCUACUUUUAUGCGCUAUAAAUAGCCCCAGUGCGAUUCACAAUGCAAUCUUUUGCAGACAGAGACAUCUAAAGCUGUUCUACACUCCUUGGAGGCGGUUCCUUGGAUGCUUAGGCUCCAAUCUACCAAAUUUAGGAUUUAUUCUUCCAUUCUUUCAUUUUAUUCCAUCUAGUUUCACCAUGUCAAUGGUGAACUAAACUCUUUGUUGUUGGGGAACAAUGUAAUCUUUUGAAACUCACCUAU